CCGUAAAACCCCCCCCAAUAUAUUCUGAAAUUUGACCUCGGAUCAGGUAGGAAUACCCGCUGAACUUAAGCAUAUCAAUAAGCGGAGGAAAAGAAACCAACAGGGAUUGCCCUAGUAACGGCGAGUGAAGCGGCAACAGCUCAAAUUUGAAAUCUGGCUUCGGCCCGAGUUGUAAUUUGCAGAGGAUGUUUCUGGCGCGGUGCCUUCCGAGUUCCCUGGAACGGGACGCCACAGAGGGUGAGAGCCCCGUAUGGUUGGAUACCAAGCCUGUGUGAAACUCCUUCGACGAGUCGAGUAGUUUGGGAAUGCUGCUCAAAAUGGGAGGUAAAUCUCUUCUAAAGCUAAAUACCGGCCAGAGACCGAUAGCGCACAAGUAGAGUGAUCGAAAGAUGAAAAGCACCUUGAAAAGGGGGUUAAACAGUACGUGAAAUUGUUGAAAGGGAAGCGCUUGUGACCAGACUUGCGCCGGGCGGUUCAUCCGGGGUUCUCCCCGGUGCACUCCGCCCGGUUCAGGCCAGCAUCGGUUCUCGUUGGGGGAUAAGAACGGCAGGAACGUGGCCCUCCUUCGGGAGGGUGUUAUAGCCUGCCGUACGAUACCCUGACGGGGACCGAGGUUCGCGCUCCGCAAGGAUGCUGGCGUAAUGGUCAUCAGCGACCCGUCUUGAAACACGGACCAAGGAGUCGUCCAUUAGAGCGAGCGUUUGGGUAUCAAACCCGCACGCGUAAUGAAAGUGAAAUUAGGUGAGAGCUUCGGCGCAUCAUCGACCGAUCCUGAUGUUCUCGGAUGGAUUUGAGUAAGAGUUUUAACGGACGGACCCGAAAGACAGUGAACUAUGCUUGUAUAGGGUGAAGCCAGAGGAAACUCUGGUGGAGGCUCGCAGCGGUUCUGACGUGCAAAUCGAUCGUCAAAUAUGAGCAUGGGGGCGAAAGACUAAUCGAACUGUCUAGUAGCUGGUUACCGCC
rnacentral:rRNA from 1 species